UUCUUUAUGGAUUUUAUAUAAAGUAAUUUCUGCCCAAUGAAUAAUUUUAUUUAAAUGGCUGCAGUAUAUUGACUGUACAAAGGUAGCAUAGUAAUUAGUUUUUUAAUUGGGAACUUGUAUGAAAGGAUACAUGAAAAAUUUUCUUUAUUAAUUUUAAAAUUAAAAUUUUAUUUUUUGGUAAGAAAGCUAAAUUGUUUUUUAGGGACGAUAAGACCCUAUAGAAUUUAAAAUUUAUUUUAAUUAGAAUGUUAUUUAGAUUAAAUUUAUUUUUUUUAAUUUAAAUUUUUAAUUGGGGUGAUUAAUAAAUUUAUAUCUUUUUUUUAUAAAUUCAUAUAUAUAUAUGUUUUUUUUGAUCCUUAAAUUUAAGAUUGUAAGAGAAAUUACCUUAGGGAUAACAGCGUAAUUUUAAUGUAAAGUUCAUAUUUAAAUUAAAGUUUGCGACCUCGAUGUUGAAUUAAGAGUAAUUUAUGGUGUAGAUGCUAUGAUUUUAAGUCUGUUCGACUUUUAUAAUCUUACA
rnacentral:rRNA from 1 species